rnacentral:rRNA from 1 species
GAACCAGUACCGUGAGGGAAAGGUGAAAAGCACCCCGGAAGGGGAGUGAAAUAGAACCUGAAACCGUGUGCUUACAAGUAGUCAGAGCCCGUUAAUGGGUGAUGGCGUGCCUUUUGUAGAAUGAACCGGCGAGUUACGAUUUGAUGCAAGGUUAAGCAGUAAAUGUGGAGCCGUAGCGAAAGCGAGUCUGAAUAGGGCGUUUAGUAUUUGGUCGUAGACCCGAAACCAGGUGAUCUACCCUUGGUCAGGUUGAAGUUCAGGUAACACUGAAUGGAGGACCGAACCGACUUACGUUGAAAAGUGAGCGGAUGAACUGAGGGUAGCGGAGAAAUUCCAAUCGAACCUGGAGAUAGCUGGUUCUCUCCGAAAUAGCUUUAGGGCUAGCCUCAAGUGAUGAUUAUUGGAGGUAGAGCACUGUUUGGACGAGGGGCCCCUCUCGGGUUACCGAAUUCAGACAAACUCCGAAUGCCAAUUAAUUUAACUUGGGAGUCAGAACAUGGGUGAUAAGGUCCGUGUUCGAAAGGGAAACAGCCCAGACCACCAGCUAAGGUCCCAAAAUAUAUGUUAAGUGGAAAAGGAUGUGGCGUUGCCCAGACAACUAGGAUGUUGGCUUAGAAGCAGCCAUCAUUUAAAGAGUGCGUAAUAGCUCACUAGUCGAGUGACACUGCGCCGAAAAUGUACCGGGGCUAAACAUAUUACCGAAGCUGUGGAUUGUCCUUUGGACAAUGGUAGGAGAGCGUUCUAAGGGCGUUGAAGCAUGAUCGUAAGGACAUGUGGAGCGCUUAGAAGUGAGAAUGCCGGUGUGAGUAGCGAAAGACGGGUGAGAAUCCCGUCCACCGAUUGACU